rnacentral:rRNA from 1 species
UACGUAGGGCGCAAGCGUUGUCCGGAAUUAUUGGGCGUAAAGAGCUCGUAGGCGGUCUGUCGCGUCGGAUGUGAAAGCCCGGGGCUUAACCCCGGGUCUGCAUUCGAUACGGGCAGACUAGAGUGUGGUAGGGGAGAUCGGAAUUCCUGGUGUAGCGGUGAAAUGCGCAGAUAUCAGGAGGAACACCGGUGGCGAAGGCGGGUCUCUGGGCCGUAACUGACGCUGAGGAGCGAAAGCGUGGGGAGCAAACAGG